CUCUCGUUCCCUAUUUUCCAUCGUUAUGGCACUUGCCCAUGGGCCUUUUUAAAAAUUUCAAUUAUAAAAAAAUUAAAGAUGGUUGCACUUAAAUUAGUUAUGGGCAUAUUAGAGACAAACUAAUUUAGCAUUAAGUUCUCGUUCUUAGGAAAUCCAUACGGACUGACGUAUGUGCUUUUCAUUAGUGGAGGCAAACGCAUUACCAGUGCAACGUGACGGGAACACGAUGACAGACCCGGAUGGCAUCGAACGUAAAGCGAUAUGGGGAAAGAAGUAAGAGACCGCUUUGACUUACGUUUAUAGCCAUUAAAUGCGGUAUAAAGUGCGCACGAACGAUAUGCCAGUGCUUAAUGUUAUUCGCAAGUCGAUCGCUAAACUUAACGUCAAAUCGGUGCGAACUGGACACUUUCGGGAUAAUCGUCUCUUCAAAAAUCAUCGCUCGUUUUGACAAAAAAAAAUGGUGAAUGUCUUGGAGAACGUCGGAGAUCCUAUCAUUAGCGAGGAAUAUUUAGGACAAACACGCCUUCCAGUUUGACUCGGUAACGCGGACAUUCCCCAAACAGGGGUCUCAGUCUAUCAGCCUUCCUGAUAAAGCGAGCAUCACAGUCGGAAAUGAAGCUCUGCGAUGAUGGAACGCGGGUCAGCCGGUGAGUGAUGGAGAAGCAAGCUAUCGAGCUGAAGCCGAUUUUUUAUGGUAACGCAGGAGCUUAAAAUGUUUCCAUUCAAUCUUGUCGAAAGAGUGCUUUCCGAUAACCAAUUUCGGAGAGCUAAUGAGCUUGAACAAGAUAUCACUAUGCUUGAGAGAGACAAGACCUCAAAUGAACUCUGAAAUUUGGUCGCUGCUUAAAGCUGGUCGAGCUGACCCCAGAACGACACGAUGCAAUUAAACACAUGAGUGGUGUAGUGCUUAGAUCGACAACGACCUGAUGGCUUCAACAAUAGGGAUUGGAAACGAAACAUAUCACUGGAACAACAGGUAACAGUUACAGCCGUGUAACCUGAAAAAUUCUUCUAUCUGACACAUUAAUAUAAGACUGUCC